AGAGGCGUAGGGCAUGGGAAAA
rnacentral:miRNA from 12 species